AGAAUCAACGCUGGCGGCGUGCCUCAGACAUGCAAGUCGAACGAUUAAACUUUCCUUCGGGAAAGAUAUAAAGUGGCGCACGGGUGAGUAACACGUAAGUAAUCUACCUUUGAGUGGGGAAUAACCCGGGGAAACCCGAGCUAAUACCGCAUAAUGCAGCGGCACCGCAAGGUGACAGUUGUUAAAGGAGCAAUCCGCUUAAAGAGGAGCUUGCGGCAGAUUAGCUAGUUGGUAAGGUAAUGGCUUACCAAGGCUACGAUCUGUAACCGGUCUAAGAGGACGGUCGGUCACACUGACACUGAAUAACGGGUCAGACUCCUACGGGAGGCAGCAGUCGGGAAUUUGGGCAAGUGGGACGAAAGGCCUAGACCCGAGCAACGCCGCGUGAAGGAUGAAGUAUUUCGGUAUAGUAAACUUACGAAAGAAGUGGGAAGAAUCAAGUGAACCGUACAGUUUAAGUAACGGUCCGGACUAACGUUACGU
rnacentral:rRNA from 1 species